AAAUUGAAGAGUUUGAUCAUGGCUCAGAUUGAACGCUGGCGGCAGGCCUAACACAUGCAAGUCGAACGGUAACAGGAAGCAGCUUGCUGCUUUGCUGACGAGUGGCGGACGGGUGAGUAAUGUCUGGGAAACUGCCUGAUGGAGGGGGAUAACUACUGGAAACGGUGGCUAAUACCGCAUAACGUCGCAAGACCAAAGAGGGGGACCUUCGGCCUCUUGCCAUCAGAUGUGCCCAGAUGGGAUUAGCU
rnacentral:rRNA from 3 species